UACGUAGGGCGCGAGCGUUGUCCGGAAUCAUUGGGCGUAAAGGGCUCGUAGGCGGUUUGUCGCGUCGGGAGUGAAAACACCGGGCUUAACUCGGUGCUUGCUUCCGAUACGGGCAGACUAGAGGCAUGCAGGGGAGAACGGAAUUCCUGGUGUAGCGGUGAAAUGCGCAGAUAUCAGGAGGAACACCGGUGGCGAAGGCGGUUCUCUGGGCAUGUCCUGACGCUGAGGAGCGAAAGUGUGGGGAGCGAACAGG
rnacentral:rRNA from 1 species